CAGCCGUAAACAAUGUGCGUUAGGUGUGUCGGUAACCACGCGUUACUGAUGCGCCGAAGAGAAAUCGUGAAACGCACCACCUGGGAAGUACGGUCGCAAGGCUGAAACUUAAAGGAAUUGGCGGGGGGAGCACCACAACAGGUGGAGCCUGCGGUUUAAUUGGAUUCAACGCCGGACAUCUCACCGGAUAAGACAGUUGAAUGAUUGUCAAUCUGAAGGUUUUACAUGACUAGCUGAGAGGGAGGUGCAUGGCGUCAGUGACU
rnacentral:rRNA from 1 species